rnacentral:rRNA from 1 species
AACGAACGCUGGCGGCAUGCCUAUCACAUGCAAGUCGAACGAGACCUUCGGGUCUAGUGGCGCACGGGUGCGUAACGCGUGGGAACCUGCCCUUAGGUUCGGAAUAACUCCCCGAAAGGGGUGCUAAUACCGGAUAAUGUCUUCGGACCAAAGAUUUAUCGCCUUUGGAUGGGCCCGCGUUGGAUUAGCUAGUUGGUAGGGUAAAAGCCUACCAAGGCGACGAUCCAUAGCUGGUCUGAGAGGAUGAUCAGCCACACUGGGACUGAGACACGGCCCAGACUCCUACGGGAGGCAGCAGUGGGGAAUAUUGGACAAUGGGCGAAAGCCUGAUCCAGCAAUGCCGCGUGAGUGAUGAAGGCCUUAGGGUUGUAAAGCUCUUUGACCCGGGAUGAUAAUGACAGUACCGGGAGAAUAAGCUCCGGCUAACUCC